GCCUCUGUAACUCAGUUGGGUAGAGCGCUGCACCGGAAUCGCAGGGCCGUAGGUUCAAUUACUACCAGCGGAC
rnacentral:tRNA from 1 species